GGAGGAUCCGAGCGUUAUCCGGAUUUAUUGGGUUUAAAGGGAGCGUAGGUGGACUGGUAAGUCAGUUGUGAAAGUUUGCGGCUCAACCGUAAAAUUGCAGUUGAUACUGUCAGUCUUGAGUACAGUAGAGGUGGGCGGAAUUCGUGGUGUAGCGGUGAAAUGCUUAGAUAUCACGAAGAACUCCGAUUGCGAAGGCAGCUCACUGGACUGCAACUGACACUGAUGCUCGAAAGUGUGGGUAUCAAACAGGAUUAGAUACCCUGGUAGUCCACACAGUAAACGAUGAAUACUCGCUGUUUGCGAAAUACAGUAAGCGGCCAAGCGAAAGCAUUAAGUAUUCCACCUGGGGAGUACGUUCGCAAGAAUG
rnacentral:rRNA from 1 species